UUUUGGCCCUGUUUGUAUACGCUUUUCUGGAACUCGCUUAUCUGGCAAGCAGGCUUAUCAGAUAAGCCUGCUGUCUGGAGAAUCCGCUGUCUGAAUAAGCUGGGUGUAUGGCAAUCCUGAUUAUUUUGUGUCGAUUGUCUGUCCUGACUGGUAAAUUGACCUGAAUGCCCUCGAGGCUGAUAAUAGCUCAUUUUUAUUGUGAAUAUGAGGAGAAGAUAAUAAUUCUAAUA
rnacentral:lncRNA from 1 species